UUUAUGUUGAAUAUUUUUUCUUCUAUGCAAUUGAUGGAGUGAAAUGAAAUGGAAUGGAAUCUUCUUAGAACAUCAUAAACUCACCCAAAGACGUUUCUUCUCAUGAGGUUAUAAAUUUCUAAACUCGCAUGCAUCUAUAAAUCCGUCCAACAGAUCGAAGAAGAACGCGUGACCCAUCUUCAAAUCAUGGUUCUUAUUUCUCUCUUAAUAUUGGGUUUUAUUUUUCGUUAUCAAAAGGUAAACCCUAGAUUUCUGAUUCACAUUUUUUUUAGUAGCUAUUGAUUUGGCAUAUUUACAACACCCAUCCCCUGAAGUUUAACAUCACUGUCUUAUGUAUUGUGUUGCUUUCGGAAUUUAUUUAGUUUAAUCUUGGUAAUUUUUCUUUUUCCCUAUGAUUUACAAAAUCUUUAGAAAUCUAAAAUAUGGAAUGGUUUUGACUGAAUCUGGGAGAAUUGAAACUGUAUAUCCAUAAACAGGCAAACUGCAACAUACUGCAAAUCUAGCGGCAAUUUAAGCUUCACAAGGUAUUCAAUUUGGUUUGGAUUUCUUCUUUUUGGUCUACAUUUUCUCAAUUUAUUUUCUAAGUUGUGGGUUCAAUUGUUCGUUUUAGUGUUAUAUCGGUAUUCUAGGUUUGUUAUUGCAACAAUUGCAUUGGAUUUAAAGAGAAGUAAAUAUUCUCAUUUUUGAUACAUGCAUUUGGCGGGGAAGUGGUUCAAGCCUUCAAGGAUUAGGUCACUAUGGGUUUAUUUACAAAUGGCUACUAAGGGUGGGGGACAAAAUGGCGUCAAUAUCACAAGCUAAUUGGGUUGACUUUACCUUUUUUUUAAACAAAACUGGGGUCUUUCAAAUUCUAAAAUGCACUCAGGAUUUCAACUGAAUUAGAGAGAGGUGUACAACAACUGCUACUAUGUAAGACUGGAUAUGUGAAAACAAUCAACCCUCUCAUAGGUCCGCGCCAAUACUAAUGGCAUUAUAAUUUUGAUUUUGGAAUGGUGAUGCUUUUGUAUGUGGCUUAGAGCUCUAAUUGUACACAUGUUCUACUGCCAUCCGACGCAAAGGGACACAAUUUUCUAAAGCAGUGGAAGGGUAAUGCAACUUUUGGUGCAACAAGUGUACGUCUAAAUUUGUUAUGUACUUAAUGUGUAAUCUCUUCAACGAUUCUUCCUUUGUUAUAUUUUCUUAAUCAUGAAAUUGUCGCCACUUUUUCUUUCUA